AGAAAACCGACGAGUAAGAGUAGUAGCUUUGCAGGUUGUCUUUCAGAGAGUCGCGGAUGGUGAAAUCGCGGCAGAUAAACGCAAUGUGAAUGGACUUAUGAGGGCGGCGCGAAAGCAGAUGCAAGUAGCAGCCGACGGAUCGCAACCGUUACAGUGCGGGACGUAUGAUGGUACGUCACAGAGCCGGGCAAAUUUAUUUUGCCAAUUUGGGUGGCAACGCAGGACACAGAGUCUUGUCCCAAUU
rnacentral:ncRNA from 1 species